CGCGCAGCGAAAGGUGCUUGCACCUUUCAAGCGAGUGGCGAACGGGUGAGUAACACGUGGAUAACCUGCCUCAAGGCUGGGGAUAACAUUUGGAAACAGAUGCUAAUACCGAAUAAAACUUAGUAUCGCAUGAUACAAAGUUGAAAGGCGCUACGGCGUCACCUAGAGAUGGGUCCGCGGUGCAUUAGUUAGUUGGUGGGGUAAAGGCCUACCAAGACAAUGAUGCAUAGCCGAGUUGAGAGACUGAUCGGCCACAUUGGGACUGAGACACGGCCCAAACUCCUACGGGAGGCUGCAGUAGGGAAUCUUCCACAAUGGGCGAAAGCCUGAUGGAGCAACGCCGCGUGUGUGAUGAAGGCUUUAGGGUCGUAAAGCACUGUUGUAUGGGAAGAAAUGCUAGAAUAGGGAAUGAUUCUAGUUCGACGGUACCAUACCAGAAAGGGACGGCUAAAUACGUGCCAGCAGCCGCGGUAAUACGUAUGUCCCGAGCGUUAUCCGGAUUUAUUGGGCGUAAAGCGAGCGCAGACGGUUGAUUAAGUCUGAUGUGAAAGCCCGGAGCUCAACUCCGGAAUGGCAUUGGAAACUGGUUAACUUGAGUGUUGUAGAGGUAAGUGGAAC
rnacentral:rRNA from 1 species